rnacentral:rRNA from 1 species
AACGAACGCUGGCGGCUGCCUAACACAUGCAAGUCGAACGAAGGCUUCGGCCUUAGUGGCGCACGGGUGCGUAACGCGUGGGAAUCUGCCCUUAGGUUCGGAAUAACAGCUGGAAACGGCUGCUAAUACCGGAUGAUAUCGCGAGAUCAAAGAUUUAUCGCCUGAGGAUGAGCCCGCGUUGGAUUAGGUAGUUGGUGGGGUAAAGGCCUACCAAGCCGACGAUCCAUAGCUGGUCUGAGAGGAUGAUCAGCCACACUGGGACUGAGACACGGCCCAGACUCCUACGGGAGGCAGCAGUGGGGAAUAUUGGACAAUGGGCGAAAGCCUGAUCCAGCAAUGCCGCGUGAGUGAUGAAGGCCCUAGGGUUGUAAAGCUCUUUUACCCGGGAAGAUAAUGACUGUACCGGGAGAAUAAGCCCCGGCUAACUCCGUGCCAGCAGCCGCGGUAAUACGGAGGGGGCUAGCGUUGUUCGGAAUUACUGGGCGUAAAGCGCACGUAGGCGGCUUUGUAAGUCAGAGGUGAAAGCCUGGAGCUCAACUCCAGAACUGCCUUUGAGACUGCAUCGCUUGAAUCCAGGAGAGGUCAGUGGAAUUCCGAGUGUAGAGGUGAAAUUCGUAGAUAUUCGGAAGAACACCAGUGGCGAAGGCGGCUGACUGGACUGGUAUUGACGCUGAGGUGCG